rnacentral:tRNA from 1 species
GGGCGUGUGGUGUAGUGGUAUCACGUUUGCUUUGCACUCACAAAAGCGCAAUUGUAAAAGGUCUUCGGUUCAAUCCCGGACACGUCCA